AUGACCUAAGAAGCCCUUGACAUAUAACAAGUGGUACCAUGAGCUGAAAGUUAUAUCCUGUUCCCCUAGAUUCGAGUGAGGAGCACCCUCAGGCCUCAGAAGAAGGGUCAAAAUCAUCAUUGGUUGUGGUAAGAUGGCCUUUCCAUAUCCUAACAUAGAGAGGUUACUUUCAUGAUACUUUAUUUUUACAGGCAUCAGAUCUCAAUAAUAAAACUGCUCACACACUAUAGGUAUUAGAGUGUUUACAUAGGAAGAGGACACAAGUCACCCAUGAUAUGACACAACAUGAGAAGAAAUUGUAAACCAUGUCAGUUACCAUAGUGGGUGUCAGGAGCUUUUCUUCUCACAUAAGAUUCCCCUUCAGACUAAAACAUGUAUAAGAAGCCAACAGGCAUAUUGUAUAGGAAAAGUUCCUGUUUCUUCUGUGAGUGUCUUCUUGUCUUUCUGCUAGGGUCUCCUAAAGUUAACACAGUUGGAAUGUGUUUGCCCAAAUAUUGAUGUGGCAAAAGAUUCUGGUGUCCAUUAAGGGAUAUUGAGGCCGUAAGACCUUUAAAGCAUGAUGUUAGAGUAGAUACUUGGGCAACAGAGACACUCCUUGGAGGGAUUCAUCUCACAAUACCAGAUUCUCAUAAUGUUUCUCUGCCACAUUUCAAAGAAGCUUUGAGGAAACCCUCAGUAGAGAACAAAGGGGUGAGUUUGCCUGAUGUGGACUCAACAGGUAAAGGUGUAAAAAUCACUUAUUUUUUCACACAGUAACUAGCUGCAGGUGUUUUAUAAGAGAAUCACAUAACAGACUAAAUAGAAUCUUCAAAUUGGCUGUUCUCCCCAGUCCUGUUUACGAACUGUCCUAAGUCACAGGGAAAAAAACAGAGAUCUGUGCAAACAUAACUCAGUGUGAUCUGAUCUAAGAGUGUUUUCUCUGAAUUGCAGGUCCAGUCAAGGAAGCACAGAUGCAUUGUUGCCAUACUGCGGAAGCUAGGCAUUCGGUGCUCUGUUACGUCUGCAAUCACUGAAAUGUCUGAAACAAUGCUGCAAAAGACCUGUGGCAUUAAUGACGAUUCGAGUGAGGAGCACCCUCAGGCCUCAGAAGAAGGGUCAAAAUCAUCAUUGGUUGUGGUAAGAUGGCCUUUCCAUAUCCUAACAUAGAGAGGUUACUUUCAUGAUACUUUAUUUUUACAGGCAUCAGAUCUCAAUAAUAAAACUGCUCACACACUAUAGGUAUUAGAGUGUUUACAUAGGAAGAGGACACAAGUCACCCAUGAUAUGACACAACAUGAGAAGAAAUUGUAAACCAUGUCAGUUACCAUAGUGGGUGUCAGGAGCUUUUCUUCUCACAUAAGAUUCCCCUUCAGACUAAAACAUGUAUAAGAAGCCAACAGGCAUAUUGUAUAGGAAAAGUUCCUGUUUCUUCUGUGAGUGUCUUCUUGUCUUUCUGCUAGGGUCUCCUAAAGUUAACACAGUUGGAAUGUGUUUGCCCAAAUAUUGAUGUGGCAAAAGAUUCUGGUGUCCAUUAAGGGAUAUUGAGGCCGUAAGACCUUUAAAGCAUGAUGUUAGAGUAGAUACUUGGGCAACAGAGACACUCCUUGGAGGGAUUCAUCUCACAAUACCAGAUUCUCAUAAUGUUUCUCUGCCACAUUUCAAAGAAGCUUUGAGGAAACCCUCAGUAGAGAACAAAGGGGUGAGUUUGCCUGAUGUGGACUCAACAGGUAAAGGUGUAAAAAUCACUUAUUUUUUCACACAGUAACUAGC